GAUGAACGCUGGCGGCGUGCCUAAUACAUGCAAGUCGAGCGAACGGACGAGAAGCUUACUUCUCUGAUGUUAGCGGCGGACGGGUGAGUAACACGUGGAUAACCUACCUAUAAGACUGGGAUAACUUCGGGAAACCGGAGCUAAUACCGGAUAAUAUUUUGAACCGCAUGGUUCAAAAGUGAAAGACGGUCUUGCUGUCACUUAUAGAUGGAUCCGCGCUGCAUUAGCUAGUUGGUAAGGUAACGGCUUACCAAGGCAACGAUGCAUAGCCGACCUGAGAGGGUGAUCGGCCACACUGGAACUGAGACACGGUCCAGACUCCUACGGGAGGCAGCAGUAGGGAAUCUUCCGCAAUGGGCGAAAGCCUGACGGAGCAACGCCGCGUGAGUGAUGAAGGUAUUCGGAUCGUAAAACUCUGUUAUUAGGGAAGAACAUAUGUGUAAGUAACUGUGCACAUCUUGACGGUACCUAAUCAGAAAGCCACGGCUAACUACGUG
rnacentral:rRNA from 1 species